rnacentral:rRNA from 1 species
AUUGAACGCUGGCGGCAGGCCUAACACAUGCAAGUCGAACGAGUGGCGGACGGGUUGGUAAUGUCUGGGAAACUGACUGAUGGAGGGGGAUCACUACUGGACACGGUAGCCACUACCGCAUUCCAUCGGAUGUGCCCGGAUGGGAUUAGCUAGUGGGUGGGGUAAAGGCUCACCAAGGCGACGAACCCUAGCUGGUCUGAGAGGAUGACCAGCCACACUGGAACUGAGACACGGUCCAGACUCCUACGGGUGGCAGCAGUGGGGAAUAUUGCACAAGGGGCGCAAGCCUGAUACAGCCAUGCCGCGUGUGUGAAGAAGGCCUUCGGGUUGUAAAGCACUUUCAGCGGGGAGGCGUUACCCGCAGAAUAAGCACCGGCUAACUCCGUGCCAGCAGCCGCGGUAAUAC